rnacentral:rRNA from 1 species
UACGAAGGGGGCGAGCGUUGUUCGGAAUUACUGGGCGUAAAGGGCGCGCAGGCGGUCUGUCAAGUCAGGCGUGAAAGCCCCGGGCUCAACCUGGGAGGUGCGCUUGGGACUGAGGGACUAGAGAUCGGGAGAGGAGCGUGGAAUUCCCAGUGUAGAGGUGAAAUUCGUAGAUAUUGGGAAGAACACCGGUGGCGAAGGCGGCGCUCUGGACCGAGACUGACGCUGAGGCGCGAAAGCGUGGGGAGCAAACAGG